AAGGCGACGAUGCAUAGCCCGAGUUGAGAGACUGAUCGGCCACAUUGGGGACUGAGACACGGCCCAAACUCCUACGGGAGGCAGCAGUAGGGAAUCUUCCACAAUGGACGCAAGUCUGAUGGAGCAAAUGCCGCGUGAGUGAAGAAGGUUUUCGGAUCGUAAAAAGCUCUGUUGUUGGUGAAGAAGGAUAGAGGUAGUAACUGGCCCUUUAUUUGACGGUAAUCGACCCAGAAAGUCACGGGCUAACUACGUGCCCAGCAGCCGCGGUAAAU
rnacentral:rRNA from 1 species